AUGUCCCUCAGCUCUCCUCACGCCCCCCUCAGGUCCCCUCGUGCCCCCCUCAGGUCCCCCCACACCCCCCUCAGCUCUCCUCACAUCGCCCUCAGCUCUCCUCACGUCCCCCUCCGCUCUCCUCAUGCCCCCCUCAGCUCUCCUCACGCCCCCCUCAGCUCUCCUCACGCACCCCUCAGCUCUCCUUUCGUCCCCUCAGCUCUCCUCAGGUCCCCUCACGCCCCCCUCAGCUCUCCUCACGCCCCCCUCUGCUCUCCUCACGCCCCCCUCAGGUCCCCCCACAUCCCCCUCAGCUCUCCUCACGUCCCUCAGCUCUCCUCACGCCCCCCUCAGGUCCCCCCACACCCCCCUCAGCUCUCCUCACGCCCCCCUCAGCUCUCCUCAUGUCCCCCUCAGGUCCCUCAGCUCUCCUCACGUCCCUCAGCUCUCCUCAGGCCCCCCUCAGCUCUCCUCAUGUCCCCCUCAGGUCCCUCAGGUCCCCUCACGCCCCCUUCAGCUCUCCUCACGUCCCUCAGCUCUCCUCACACCCCCCUCAGGUCCCCCCACACCCCCCUCAGCUCUCCUCACGCACCCCUCAGCUCUCCUCACACCCCCCUCAGCUCUCCUCACGUCCCCCUCAGCUCUCCUCAUGUCCCCCUCAGGUCCCCUCACGCCCCCUUCAGCUCUCUUUCGUCCCCAUCAGCUUUCGUCACGCCCCCCUCAGCUCUCCUCACGCCCCCUUCAGCUCUCCUCACGCCCCCCUCUGCUCUCCUCACAUCGCCCUCAGCUCUCCUCAUGUCCCCCUCAGCUCUCCUCAGGUCCCCCCAACACCCCCCUCAGGUCCCCCCACACCCCCCUCGGGUCUCCUCAGGUCCCUCAGCUCUCCUUUCGUCCCCUCAGCUCUCCUCACGCCCCCCUCAGCUCUCCUCACCUCCCCUCAGCUCUCCUCAGGCCCCCCUCAGCUCCCCCCAAACCCCCCUCAGGUCCCCCCACACCCCUCUCAGCUCUCCUCACGUCCCCCUCAGCUCUCCUCAACGCCCCCCCUCACUCUCCUCACACCCCCCUCAGCUCCCCCCAAACCCCCCUCAGCUCUCCUCAGGUCCCCUCACGCCCCCCUCAGCUCCCCCCAAACCCCCCUCAGGUCCCCCCACAUCCCCCUCAGCUCUCCUCAUGUCCCUCAGCUCUCCUCACACCCCCCUCAGGUCCCCCCAACACCCCCCUCAGCUCUCACGCCCCCCUCGGCUCUCCUCAGGCCCCCCUCAGCUCUCCUCACGCCCCCCUCAGCUCUCCUCACGCCCCCCUCAGCUCUCCUCACACCCCCCUCAGGUCCCCCCACACCCCCCUCAGCUCUCCUCACGCCCCCCUCAGCUCCCCCCAAACCCUCCUCAGGUCCCCCCACAUCCCCCUCAGGUCCCCCACAUCCCCCUCAGCUCUCCUCAUGUCCCUCAGCUCUCCUCACGUCCCCCUCGAGCCCGGCCUCCUCCUGUGGGCUCCAUUUUGAGGCAUGGCACCCUUUUUCACUCUGACACCGAAGUCAGAGACCUGGGAGGCGGCCUGUCCCCGUCCCUGCCGUUCGUCGGGAGCGCACGGCACACGAGGGCCCAGAGGCGCUGA
rnacentral:lncRNA from 1 species